CGUAGGGCGCAAGCGUUGUCCGGAAUUAUUGGGCGUAAAGAGCUCGUAGGCGGCUUGUCACGUCGGGUGUGAAAGCCCGGGGCUUAACCCCGGGUCUGCAUUCGAUACGGGCUAGCUAGAGUGUGGUAGGGGAGAUCGGAAUUCCUGGUGUAGCGGUGAAAUGCGCAGAUAUCAGGAGGAACACCGGUGGCGAAGGCGGAUCUCUGGGCCAUUACUGACGCUGAGGAGCGAAAGCGUGGGGAGCGAACAGGAUUAGAUACCCUGGUAGUCCACGCCGUAAACGGUGGGAACUAGGUGUUGGCGACAUUCCGCGUCGUCGGUGCCGCAGCUAACGCAUUAAGUUCCCCGCCUGGGGAGUACGGCCGCAAGGCUA
rnacentral:rRNA from 1 species